rnacentral:rRNA from 1 species
GUCCACGCUGUAAACGAUGAUCAUUAGAUGUUAGACCCGUUUUAGGGUUUAGUGUCGCAGCUAACGCGUUAAAUGAUCCGCCUGGGAAGUACGGUCGCAAGAUUAAAACUUAAAGGAAUUGACGGGGGUCCGCACAAGCGGUGGAACAUGUGGUUUUAAUUCGACACUACGCGAGGAACCUUACCUAGGCUUGACAUGCAUAUGAUCGCUGUGGAAACACAGUUUUUUAGGCUUCGGUCUAAACAUUUGCACAGGUGCUGCAUGGCUGUCGU